rnacentral:rRNA from 1 species
GAUAAGCGUUGGAAACGACGUCUAAUACUGGAUAUGACUGCCGGCCGCAUGGUCUGGUGGUGGAAAGAUUUUUUGGUUGGGGAUGGACUCGCGGCCUAUCAGCUUGUUGGUGAGGUAAUGGCUCACCAAGGCGACGACGGGUAGCCGGCCUGAGAGGGUGACCGGCCACACUGGGACUGAGACACGGCCCAGACUCCUACGGGAGGCAGCAGUGGGGAAUAUUGCACAAUGGGCGAAAGCCUGAUGCAGCAACGCCGCGUGAGGGAUGACGGCCUUCGGGUUGUAAACCUCUUUUAGUAGGGAAGAAGCGAAAGUGACGGUACCUGCAGAAAAAGCACCGGCUAACUACGUGCCAGCAGCCGCGGUAAUACGUAGGGUGCAAGCGUUGUCCGGAAUUAUUGGGCGUAAAGAGCUCGUAGGCGGUUUGUCGCGUCUGCUGUGAAAUCCCGAGGCUCAACCUCGGGCUUGCAGUGGGUACGGGCAGACUAGAGUGCGGUAGGGGAGAUUGGAAUUCCUGGUGUAGCGGUGGAAUGCGCAGAUAUCAGGAGGAACACCGAUGGCGAAGGCAGAUCUCUGGGCCGUAACUGACGCUGAGGAGCGAAAGCAUGGGGAGCG